AUGAUAUACGAAAUCACAAUUGCAUUUCAAUGUCUUUUAUUUGUACAUGAAUACAAGAAACAUUUCAAUGGCAAUGGUUUUCUUUCAAAUAUAUGGAAGGGCUACACCCUCGAUAUAACCGCCGCCUCAUCUACUUGUGUUUUAUUCCAUUUUGAGACCGCCUCUCCCUUCUUCCGCUUCCGAUUCCGAUCAGUCACAUAGUCUGAUGCUUUCCCGCCUAUCUCUCAUCUAUCUAUCUACUCAAAUUCCUCAAGCCUUCCUUCCGUUCUUGCGACAGGUUUGAUACUUCAUUUUUAUAGACAGACGAGUCGAGAGACAAAGAUCGAGUGAGAGAGAGAGGUGUAAAGUAGAUGAAAUAGACAUCGGAAGACCACACUUGCACUACAGUACGUUUUCUUUCCUGAUUUCUUCUAGAUUAGGGUUUCUUUAAAAUUGUUGGUGUGAUUUUCCGUCUUUUGAUUUUUAUUUUCCAUGUUAACAACUUGAAUUGUGAUUCAACGAGUGCUUGCUCUAGCUGUUGGGUACGCAACAUCGAAGAUGUUGGAGAUGGUGCCACUCAUGUCGCACUCAUUGUAAAAGGUUAUAUUCAAGAAAGAAUUGUAAUCGAUGGUAUUUCCACAUACAAAGACAAAGAUCGACUCGGAUACCAAUUGAAUCAACAUUUAUGCUGAUUGGAAACGAUUGUCCCUGAAACAGCUUUGGAUGACAUGUUAAUUUCUAUAUUGGUUGCAGUAGCAAGGCAUUCCCCUACAUCUGCAGGUGCGAGAGAUUAAUUCAAGUUAUAGUCCAGAAAUUCACUACAAAUAAAUAACCAAAUGGGAAUUCACUUUAUAAAAGAUAAAAUCCAUUUAUAAAGAAGCUGUCGUGGGUUUGUAUGCCCACUCCGAAUAGCCUUAGGCGACUUUAAUUAUCGAUCGAUGAUAUAUCUUAUGAUGAAGCACGUGAUUUUAUCUCAAAAAGAAGCUUCGAUUGGCUUAGAGAGAAAGAUCAAUUACAUAUGGAAAUGAAAGCCGGAAGUGUUUUCCAAGGAAUGCGUUCGUGAAGCUUUUAUCACAAUCCCACCAACAUACAAUUUCGAAAGGCAUCAACCUGGUUUAAUUAUCGUAUAGUAAUAUAAUAAAUUAUUUAUAAAAUGGGUUGGGUCUAAGUUUUUAACUUUUGUA